UACAGAGGUCCCAAGCGUUGUUCGGAUUUACUGGGCGUAAAGGGUGCGUAGGUGGCGAGGUAAGUUCGAUGUGAAAUCUCCGAGCUCAACUCGGAAAUGGCAUUGAAUACUAUCCCGCUUGAGGGUCGGAGGGGAGACUGGAAUUCUCGGUGUAGCAGUGAAAUGCGUAGAUAUCGAGAGGAACACCAGUGGCGAAGGCGAGUCUCUGGACGACUCCUGACACUGAGGCACGAAAGCUAGGGGAGCGAACGGG
rnacentral:rRNA from 1 species